UAUUGAAUAAUAGUGGUAAAUGUAGAUUAGUCUUUGAAUAACACCAAGAACUGAGUAGUUCAACAUAUUUUCUUUUGAAAAAAUAAUUCAGUUUAAAUAAAAACUCGCGUUUUAGCUUCUUUUUUCAUUGUUUGAACUUCUUAACAAUAUGUUUUCAAACGGGUAAUACAAGAAAAGAAUUCGAAAAAAAAGCUAGCACGAUCUUUGUUCAUCUGUACCCCCACUAUGCUAGUUUUCGUAGCAUCUGAAAUUUGUAAAAUAAUAUUGGAUUUCUUAUUUCGAAGUUAUACAAACAUUUUUUUUUGAAAGAGUGGACACCUUGAUAGAACCCCGCACAUCCAACAAGUGAACUUAAUGUUUUCCUCACAUGAAAUAAUUCUACUCCACACCGAGGUUUAGAACCUAUAUCGUCGAGAGGCAAGUGAAGUCACCGACCAUAGCCACUCGGGCAUGUAGGCCCGUCCUAGCAUUUAUAAAACUCUGAUCGUGUGGCGAAAUAUUCGAACUGCUGUCAAUAACAAAUAAAGUGAUGAUUAAACAGAAUAAAAACGCAUACCCUUUACUUUUUUUAUCUAAGAAACAAAUAAGGUAUUUACACAAAAUAGUAUACAGGCAAUUGUAACGUAAAUUGAACUAAAAAUAAAAGCUGUUUUGCCAAUUUCUGUUUGCAAAGAAAAAUCAAUAUUUAAUUUGCUAUAAAUUGCUAUAAAUGAAUUUAUUUCCUUGAUAACAUAUGAACAGCUUAGCUUUCAUAUUUGUAACUUUUAAAUAUGAAAUGGAAUGCAGUUCAGAUUUUUUUUCAGGAUAUCUUAACUAUGCAGUGCGCCCUCUGGUGAUACAUUGAUACAUCCGGGUGGUAUACUGACACCUCUUUACUUAAUUGCAUGCGAUUCAUUGGAGAUUGUGACAGAAAAAUAAUGUUAUAGCGAUAUAAGGUAAGUUUUAAUACUUAUAAUUAUAAUUUGGAUUCAAAUAAUCGUGGGUAUUUAAUAUAAUGUUCAGACAUUAACUGAAUAUAAACUUCAUUUUGUUUUGAAAAUUAAAGGAAUUAUACCAAAUAUUUCCGGUAAAAAUUCUCAGUACAUACGCAUGUUAUAGAUCUAUCUUAUAGUCAUAUAUUCCGCAUACACUUGCUUUGGGCGGAUUUGAAUAUAUUGAUUCACUAUGAAACUAACAUAAUAAAUUAUUUUUGUAAAAACGAUGGGGAGUUAUAACCUCACAAUGAAAUCAAACUUAAAACAGUUAAUUCAAAGAAUUCUUAAGAAGAAAAUAUUGAGCCAUAAUACAUGUAUAUGAAAUACAGUGCAUGUGUGUUUAAAGCAUUUUGUAGCCUAGGAUCAAAAUGAAAUAUUGAUUUCUCUAUAUUGCUGUGUGGGGUUGACGGAAACUUCUUUGGUUCUCCCGGAAGAAAAAUUCUGAAGUUCUAAUCACACAUCUACUUUGUUUAUUUUAGGUAAAAAUGACAUAAUUGGUCGUGAUCUCAGUGACCUAGAAUGCUCGAGAAAAUCGUGCAACUUUGGAUGUACACUUAGUUACUGUGAUAGAGUUACACUUAUUUUCAGAAACUUUGAAUACAUAUCCGGAAUUUUCAAAAGAAUUCAAGGAUAAAAUACAAGUGACAUUCAGUCUUAAGCGGAUGCUGAAGUGUUUCUUCGUUUGACACCAGCUCGACAAAGUGGGCGAUCUACCUGCUAGCAUGGGACCGCAGUAAGGUGAAGGUGAGCCGACAUCUAUGACAUUCACAAUUGCUCUGUAGCAAACCAAGGUGACACAAAUACAACGUUCAAAGACAGAACAGUGAAAAGAUGGUUAGAUACUGCAGCCACGAGCAUCAAUGAAGCUUACGUUGCCAACGUUACAGAUAGUGGACCCAGCAUAAAGACGUAUUACAUCACAGCGUUAUAUUUUACGUUUACGUCACUGACGUCAAUAGGAUUCGGAAACGUGUCACCAAAUACUAGUGGAAUUGACAUGCCGGUAAAGAUGAUAUAUUUUGUGGUGCUUGCAGUGACGUGGAAUGCUCGGGAAAAUCGUUCUAUUUUGUACGUGCCCUUAGUUACUGUGAUAUUGACAAGAUAGAGUUACACGUGCUGAAAGAAACAAUGGAUAUAUAACCAGAAUUUUCAAAAAGAAUUAAUGGGUAAAAUACAAGUGACAUUCAAUCUUAAGCUCGACGAAUGGGACCGCAGAUCGGAGAAGAUGACCCGACGUCUAGAGCAUUCGAAUUUUCUCCGCUAUCAGCAAGUAGUGGUAUAGAUACGGCGUUCAAAGACAGAUCAGUCAAGACUACUGGGUGACGAACGUUCAGAAAGAGAAUGUUUCAUUUUCUUCAUCAAAUUCCAGCCGGUACGUCAACGCCACAGUGUGUUUUCGGUGGACCUAUAAGGUCAUUCUUAGAAACAUCAGACAGUUGAGCGCACUCUAGUAUUCGGCGCAUUUCCGGGAAGCUGGUGAUACAGCGCCACCUGUAAGAGUGAGACAGACGUCACUGCCUAAGCCCGAGGAAAUCGACAUGGAGUUUUAAGAUCUACAUGUGCCUUGUUGAAGAGAUUUCAUAUAACAUGGUGUUGCCUUCCAGCCGCAUUGAAAUUAUAAAAAUGAGAUUAGUAUUUUGUAUUUUCACAUCCUAAAUGAAAUUCAAUGGCGUUAAAGACACGCCUAAAAAUAAAUGUCUUCUUUCGUAUUUCAGUAAUAAUAAUAAUACUUAAUGCAUGAAAAAUAUUAGAUAUACAAGCAUUUAGUUUCAAAUUGACAGUGAUAUACAUUAAGCCAAGACAAUAUGUUAAAUGUCUUAAUAUUUUAUUGUAUUAAUGUAGCAAUAUGUACAUAAGUCAGUGUAUUUAGUUAAAUUUCAAUCAUAUUUUGUUUCUACAAUGUAAGGUAGAUAAUCAUCUAUAUUCUUAAAACUAUGGUGAAGAGAGAUUGAAUAAGUUUGCAGAUGAAGUUGUGAAAACACAUUUAUUCCGGAAAGGCCUAAAUUGUCCGACUCAAAACUUGUGGUAUAGCUGUUUAUUACCUGUAUUAUAAGAAUGCUUUUCAUGAAGUUUUGUGGGUAAAGAAGUAGGUCACUAGUGAAGGCGGGUCUUUAAGCUAUUCUUGAAAUCACGGAGGUGGUAAUACUGAUAUUACAUUGUUA